UGCCAGGGGUGACCACAGACUGAAACCUCUGCAACUGUGGACCAAAAUAAACCCUCCUUUAAACUGUUUAUCAGUAUUUGUCACAAUAACCAAGAGCUGACUAACACACAGAUUAACAACAGAUUAACAACAGAAAACAGAAAGUCUAGAACAGCGCAACAAACAUGGAAACAGACAGGAAAGGAAGGACCGAUGAAAAGUUAGCUGAAAAAAUUACAGUAAUCCACAAGGAAAACUGAACUUGGAUUCCCAUACUCAAAGAUCAACUCAUGAUUGGUCUCGAAUUCUUCGGCUCAAGUGAUCCUGUCACCUCAACGUCCAGAGAAACGUGCAGCAUACCCAACCUUAGUGUUACUUCUUUUCCUCAUGACUUAUCUUAUUUGAAGCUUGCAUUUCUUUAAUUAAUAAUGACGUUAUCCCAUUUAUUGGCCAUUUGAAUUUCUUCCCAUGAUUUUCUUCGUACAUAUCCUCAGCUUAUCAUUUCUAAUCCUGAAGAGAAGCUGCUAGUCUCUAACCUGUCUCAUGUUCAGCCUAAAGGAUGGCAGAGGCCAACCAGAAUGUCUUUCCCUGCCGAUCGAAGGACAGAGAAGCACCUUUCCUUCCUAGUUGCAAAAUUACAAGGAGAUAGACCUGGACCUGCCAGCACCCAUGCUUGUGACAGAAGAGAUAAGGCCCUUGGCAGACAAGCUGACACACAAAGGGAAGGGAACAUGAGCAAUGGACAUGGAGCGCCAGCAGAGCUGAAGGCCCUGACUUUGCUGUCUCCAAGGUCAGCAUUAUCUGUACUCUUCUCAUGGUUUGGGUCUCUUUCCUACUGAUGCUGAUCUGAACUGGGAUUCUACCACUUGAAUUAACUCAGAGGGGUAAAAAGGCCUGUAAAAGUUCCAAGCAGCCUUUCAGGGCUGUUCUUAAGUACCAGGAAAGCAAAUUAUCAAAUAAGCAAUAAUAAAGCAGUUCAGUUUAGAGAUGAAUGCACUUGAAGUUGUUCCAAGGACAGAGUGGGCUCCUU